rnacentral:rRNA from 1 species
UACGUAGGGUGCGAGCGUUAAUCGGAAUUACUGGGCGUAAAGCGUGCGCAGGCGGCGCGUUAAGACAGGUGUGAAAGCCCCGAGCUUAACUUGGGAAUUGCGCUUGUGACUGGCGUGCUGGAGUGUGGCAGAGGGAGGUGGAAUUCCACGUGUAGCAGUGAAAUGCGUAGAGAUGUGGAGGAACACCGAUGGCGAAGGCGGCCAUCUGGACCACAACUGACGCUGAGGCGCGAAAGCGUGGGGAGCAAACAGG